rnacentral:rRNA from 1 species
GAGUAAUGCGUGAGCAACCUGCCUUUCAGAGGGGACAACAGUUGGAAACGACUGCUAAUACCGCAUAACGGUAUCCGGGCGGCAUCGCUUGGAUACCAAAGGAGCAAUCCGCUGAAAGAUGGGCUCACGUCUGAUUAGCUAGUUGGUGGGGUAACGGCCUACCAAGGCUGCGAUCAGUAGCCGGACUGAGAGGUUGAACGGCCACAUUGGGACUGAGAUACGGCCCAGACUCCGUACGGGAGGCAGCAGGUGGGGAAUAUUGGGCAAUGGGCGAAAGCCCUGACCCAGCAACGCCGCGUAGAAGGAAGAAGGUCUUCGGAUUGUAAACUUCUUUAUGAGGGACGAAGGACGUGACGGUACCUCAUGAAUAAGCCACGGCUAACUACGUGCCAGCCGCCGC